UACGUAGGCAGCAAGCGUUGUUCGGAGUUACUGGGCGUAAAGGGUGUGUAGGCGGUUCCUUAAGUUUGCUGUGAAAUCUCCCGGCUUAACCGGGAGGGUGCGGUGAAUACUGAGGGACUAGAGUACGGGAGAGGAAAGUGGAAUUCCUGGUGUAGCGGUGAAAUGCGUAGAUAUCAGGAGGAACACCGGUGGCGAAGGCGGGUCUCUGGACAGUUCCUGACGCUGAGGCACGAAGGCCAGGGGAGCAAACGGG
rnacentral:rRNA from 1 species